ensembl:antisense Ccdc42os coiled-coil domain containing 42, opposite strand
UUUGCCCUCUAACCUUUGAACCCACUAACUCCUCACCCACCUCUCUCGUUUUGUUUUGUUUUGUUUUGUUUUGUUUUGUUUUCAAGAUAGGGUUUCUUUGUGUAAUCCUGGCUGUCCUGGAAAUCACUCUGUAGACCAGGCUGGCCUUGGACUCAUAAAUCUGCCUGCCUCUGCUGCCUGAGUGCUGUGAGGAAAGGUGUGCAUCACCACUGUCCGGCUAACCUCACUCACUUGAGGUGGCCUCUCUGUUCCUGAGGGCACCUUUCAGGAACUCUGAUUACGUUACCAGUUGCUCCUUUACUGGGUAGGGAGGCAGGGUAUGACCAUUUGCCACAGAGAAUGAAAGCCUGACAGAGGAGUCCGGUCUGUGAAGCUGACUCCCCGACACCUCUUUCCUAGGGUUAGGUGAGGGGGAAGACGAGAUUGGGUGGCAGAUGGAUGGUAAAGAGCAAAAGCAGCAGAGAGAAGACCAGGGACAGGGAGAGGUGGACAGAGAAGUGUGGAAAGUGGGGAAAUGAUGAGACGCAUUAGAACAAAGUAGUGGGCCAAAGAGAUGUAGGGGCAUACAGCUCCUGGCCGCUUGGAAAGGGACCAAGGCAAGGCAAGGUCCCUUUAUUAUAAGACGGAGUUUAUUAAGUACAGAUAAAAUACUCUUUUGAGCUAUAAGUGCAGGUGUGGUGGGUAAUGGAAUAGGUCCCUUGUUUAAAUGGUUUACUUCUUAUGGCUGCCUUCCUCCAUUCCAGAGGACACAUGCAUAUUUAAAUACUUAUUUGACUUGAGGUUAAAGCUGUGUACGGUUGGGUCCCUGGGUGAAACAGCACUAUAGUGACCUCUGCUGGCACUAGGCCCUGGGUGCUGACCCCUCCCUGCCCUUCCUCCCAGCGGGCUGAGGUAGGAUUGCUGGGGGUCUCUGGCUGGAGCCAAGGACAGAGCUUGCAGGCUAAAUUGUGGGUCACCUGGCAUGCUGCUUCCUCUAGCUCUCCAAAUCCCUGUUGUGAGGAAGAGAGUGUCCUGCUCGUGUUUCACCUUUGGUCUCUCCUCAAGAUGCUGUGAUCACAUACUAUGAAGAUUCAAGGGGAUGGUUAAUUCCAGUGAUUUGAAUUUAAUGCGAUGCUAUGCAACUUACAGAAAGCAUGAAGCUGAUUUGUAUGCACAGACGUGGGAGAAGUAUCGGGGACAAAUGGAGUGACAGAAGCGAGCUGCAGCACGGCAUGUCUAAUAGGAUGCAGCGUGUGCGCAUGCGUGUGCCGGAGGCCAGGCUGGGGAAGGUUGUCCGCAGAGCUCUGGAGACAAGAAUGAUUUGGGGUGGGGAAGCCGUUUGGAACUUUUAAAAAAAUGUACUCUCCGUAUCGUUUUUC